rnacentral:lncRNA from 1 species
ACAGCCCAAAUUGCAUCGCGAUGGACGGCCCAGAUUUAAUCCCAAUUAAAUCGCGAUCGAACGGUCCAGAUUUAAUCUUGAUGGACGGUUGAGAUCAAAAGGCAAAGGGUAUAAAUAACCCCACCCACACCUGACCACAAAAACCCUAGCCGCCACUGCCUCACCGGAGAAGAAGAACUAGACGCCGGAGGAGCCGACCGCCGCCACCCGCCGAC